rnacentral:rRNA from 1 species
UACCGCAUACGUCCUACGGGAGAAAGCAGGGGACCUUCGGGCCUUGCGCUAUCAGAUGAGCCUAGGUCGGAUUAGCUAGUUGGUGGGGUAAUGGCUCACCAAGGCGACGAUCCGUAACUGGUCUGAGAGGAUGAUCAGUCACACUGGAACUGAGACACGGUCCAGACUCCUACGGGAGGCAGCAGUGGGGAAUAUUGGACAAUGGGCGAAAGCCUGAUCCAGCCAUGCCGCGUGUGUGAAGAAGGUCUUCGGAUUGUAAAGCACUUUAAGUUGGGAGGUAGGGCAGUUACCUAAUACGUGAUUGUUUUGACGUUACCGACAGAAUAAGCACCGGCUAACUCUGUGCCAGCAGCCGCGGUA